rnacentral:rRNA from 1 species
UACGUAGGGGGCAAGCGUUGUCCGGAAUCAUUGGGCGUAAAGAGCGUGUAGGCGGCCAGAUAAGUCCGCUGUGAAAUCUCGAGGCUCAACUUCGAGCUGUCGGUGGAAACUGUCUGGCUAGAGUCCGGAAGAGGAGAAUGGAAUUCCUGGUGUAGCGGUGAAAUGCGCAGAUAUCAGGAAGAACACCCGUGGCGAAGGCGGUUCUCUGGGACGGUACUGACGCUGAGACGCGAAAGCGUGGGGAGCGAACUGG